rnacentral:rRNA from 1 species
GAUUGAACGCUGGCGGCAGGCCUAACACAUGCAAGUCGAGCGGUAGAGAGGUGCUUGCACCUCUUGAGAGCGGCGGACGGGUGAGUAAUGCCUAGGAAUCUGCCUGGUAGUGGGGGAUAACGCUCGGAAACGGACGCUAAUACCGCAUACGUCCUACGGGAGAAAGCAGGGGACCUUCGGGCCUUGCGCUAUCAGAUGAGCCUAGGUCGGAUUAGCUAGUUGGUGAGGUAAUGGCUCACCAAGGCGACGAUCCGUAACUGGUCUGAGAGGAUGAUCAGUCACACUGGAACUGAGACACGGUCCAGACUCCUACGGGAGGCAGCAGUGGGGAAUAUUGGACNUAUGGGCGAAAGCCUGAUCCAGCCAUGCCGCGUGUGUGAAGAAGGUCUUCGGAUUGUAAAGCACUUUAAGUUGGGA